GGUGGGUUGGCUCAGUGGUUAGAGCAUAACUCUAGUAACCGAAAGGUCGCUGGAUCGAAUCCCGCUAGAGGCUG
rnacentral:tRNA from 1 species